GAUGAACGCUGGCGGCGUGCCUAAUACAUGCAAGUCGAGCGAACGGACGAGGAGCUUGCUUCUCUGAUGUUAGCGGCGGACGGGUGAGUAACACGUGGAUAACCUACCUAUAAGACUGGGAUAACUUCGGGAAACCGGAGCUAAUACCGGAUAAUAUUUUGAACCGCAUGGUUCAAUAGUGAAAGACGGUCUUGCUGUCACUUAUAGAUGGAUCCGCGCUGCAUUAGCUAGUUGGUAAGGCAACGGCUUACCAAGGCAACGAUGCAUAGCCGACCUGAGAGGGUGAUCGGCCACACUGGAACUGAGACACGGUCCAGACUCCUACGGGAGGCAGCAGUAGGGAAUCUUCCGCAAUGGGCGAAAGCCUGACGGAGCAACGCCGCGUGAGUGAUGAAGGUCUUCGGAUCGUAAAACUCUGUUAUUAGGGAAGAACAUAUGUGUAAGUAACUGUGCACAUCUUGACGGUACCUAAUCAGAAAGCCACGGCUAACUACGUG
rnacentral:rRNA from 1 species